rnacentral:rRNA from 1 species
UUUAUGGAGAGUUUGAUCCUGGCUCAGGAUGAACGCUGGCGGCGUGCCUAAUACAUGCAAGUCGAGCGAACGGACGAGAAGCUUGCUUCUCUGAUGUUAGCGGCGGACGGGUGAGUAACACGUGGAUAACCUACCUAUAAGACUGGGAUAACUUCGGGAAACCGGAGCUAAUACCGGAUAAUAUUUUGAACCGCAUGGUUCAAAAGUGAAAGACGGUCUUGCUGUCACUUAUAGAUGGAUCCGCGCUGCAUUAGCUAGUUGGUAAGGUAACGGCUUACCAAGGCAACGAUGCAUAGCCGACCUGAGAGGGUGAUCGGCCACACUGGAACUGAGACACGGUCCAGACUCCUACGGGAGGCAGCAGUAGGGAAUCUUCCGCAAUGGGCGAAAGCCUGACGGAGCAACGCCGCGUGAGUGAUGAAGGUCUUCGGAUCGUAAAACUCUGUUAUUAGGGAAGAACAUAUGUGUAAGUAACUGUGCACAUCUUGACGGUACCUAAUCAGAAAGCCACGGCUAACUACGUGCCAGCAGCCGCGGUAAUACGUAGGUGGCAAGCGUUAUCCGGAAUUAUUGGGCGUAAAGCGCGCGUAGGCGGUUUUUUAAGUCUGAUGUGAAAGCCCACGGCUCAACCGUGGAGGGUCAUUGGAAACUGGAAAACUUGAGUGCAGAAGAGGAAAGUGGAAUUCCAUGUGUAGCGGUGAAAUGCGCAGAGAUAUGGAGGAACACCAGUGGCGAAGGCGACUUUCUGGUCUGUAACUGACGCUGAUGUGCGAAAGCGUGGGGAUCAAACAGGAUUAGAUACCCUGGUAGUCCACGCCGUAAACGAUGAGUGCUAAGUGUUAGGGGGUUUCCGCCCCUUAGUGCUGCAGCUAACGCAUUAAGCACUCCGCCUGGGGAGUACGACCGCAAGGUUGAAACUCAAAGGAAUUGACGGGGACCCGCACAAGCGGUGGAGCAUGUGGUUUAAUUCGAAGCAACGCGAAGAACCUUACCAAAUCUUGACAUCCUUUGACAACUCUAGAGAUAGAGCCUUCCCCUUCGGGGGACAAAGUGACAGGUGGUGCAUGGUUGUCGUCAGCUCGUGUCGUGAGAUGUUGGGUUAAGUCCCGCAACGAGCGCAACCCUUAAGCUUAGUUGCCAUCAUUAAGUUGGGCACUCUAAGUUGACUGCCGGUGACAAACCGGAGGAAGGUGGGGAUGACGUCAAAUCAUCAUGCCCCUUAUGAUUUGGGCUACACACGUGCUACAAUGGACAAUACAAAGGGCAGCGAAACCGCGAGGUCAAGCAAAUCCCAUAAAGUUGUUCUCAGUUCGGAUUGUAGUCUGCAACUCGACUACAUGAAGCUGGAAUCGCUAGUAAUCGUAGAUCAGCAUGCUACGGUGAAUACGUUCCCGGGUCUUGUACACACCGCCCGUCACACCACGAGAGU